GGGUGUCUCUGAUGGUGACUGGACCACCACUCUACAUUCUGAACAUGACCCAAGAACAGUGGACCUUAAAACAAAAUAACAGUAAAACCACUGGUACACUGCAGGAGAUGAGAUCAUUCAGCAGACCUAUCUGGAUGUUAGCAGGGCAGAAAUCAGCCUUUACAAGAACAACGUGUCAGUGUUCCCUCUGAGGAGCUGAAACACACUGACAUCUGGUUUUAGACUGACUCACCUGGUGGUAGCAGAUUAGCUGCAGAGCUGGUACUGACUUCUAGAUGCUUCAGUAACCAGAAACAUCAGAACGUGUUGCUUCCAAGUCUUUUAUUCAGAAGGUGUCAACAAACCCAAGAGGAGGCUCCUCCAGUGUUACACAAGACAAACACCAUGUUCACCACUAACCCUCUCUAAUCAUGCUAAAUGUGAAUGGCGUUGUUUUACCAGUCUGAAUGUUGUAAUGGCGAACACACCCAGUCUGCCCUAUAAGUUUCCUGAGUCUGGGUCCGCAGUCAAACCUGCUGCAAUUUGAUUGUGGGUGAAGCUCUAGUCAUCAUGAUGAAGACAGCUGUCCUCCUGUUCCUGGCUGUUGGAGCCAUAACAGUAGAAGGACAUUUUUGGGACAAAAUCCUUGGAAGAAGCGAGCCUACUGGUGGUCCUGGAGCUGGUCCUGGAUCCCGUCCAGGAGCUGGACCUGGAGCUGGUCCUGGGGUUGGUCCUGGAUCCCGUCCAGGA